AUACGGAGGAUCCGAGCGUUAUCCGGAUUUAUUGGGUUUAAAGGGUGCGCAGGCGGGAGAUUAAGUCGGCGGUGAAAUUUUGCAGCUCAACUGUAAAAGAGCCUUCGAAACUGGUUUCCUUGAGUGUAGAUGAAGUAGGCGGAAUUUGUGGUGUAGCGGUGAAAUGCAUAGAUAUCACGAGGAACUCCGAUUGCGCAGGCAGCUUACUAAACUACUACUGACGCUCAGGCACGAAGGCGUGGGGAUCAAACAGGGUUAGAUACCCUGGUAGUCCACGCAGUAAACGAUGAUUACUAGCUGUUUGCGAUACAAUGUAAGCGGCUGAGCGAAAGCGUUAAGUAAUCCACCUGGGGAGUACGUUCGCAAGAAUGAAACUCAAAGGAAUUGACGGGG
rnacentral:rRNA from 1 species